UACGAAGGGCUAGCGUUGCUCGGAAUCACUGGGCGUAAAGGUGCGUAGGCGGGUCUUUAAGUCAGGGGUGAAUCCUGGAGCUCAACUCCAGAACUGCCUUGAUACUGAAGAUCUUGAGUUCGGGAGAGGUGAGUGGAACUGCGAGUGUAGAGGUGAAAUUCGUAGAUAUUCGCAAGAACACCAGUGGCGAAGGCGGCUCACUGGCCCGAUACUGACGCUGAGGCACGAAAGCGUGGGAGCAACAGG
rnacentral:rRNA from 1 species